GCGCGGGCUUGCGUGCGAGGAUAGAGGGGCAGGCCUUGGGGUCCCGGAAUGUUGGGGGCUGGGGUCAGUCAGGGUGUCCAGAGCCGGUGUCUAGACUAUCGAGAUGUCGUGCAAACCUCGCGGUGUCAGGGGCCAGGUGGAGAUAUUGAGAAUCUUGGGUUGUUUAGGGUUGGGUUGGGAUUCUAGUCAUGUCAGCAGUUGGGAUCCUGAGAAUCUGGGUGUUAGGGGCCGGGUGGAGAUACUGAGGAUCCUGAAGUGUCAGCGGCUGGGAGCCUGAGAUUCUUGGGGUGUCAAGGUCGAGCUGGAACUUGAGAAUGUCUGGGUGUUUCAGGAUAGGUUGGAAUCUUGAGGAGCUAGGGGUGCCAGGCGCUGGGCUGGACUCGGUGGCCAGCAGGUGCCCCCAGCUGUGCAGAGCUGCUGUGAAUCUCUCUCCCAAGGUCCCCCCUGCUUUGACCCUGGUUUCACCCUACAUUUUCCUCCUUGGGUUGUUUAAAUGGCUCAGGGUUGGAAGAGCCAAUUUAUCGUUGAGUUUCCCCCCUCCUCACUGCAGCACCAACCGCGGGGAUGAAGGUUCUGGGCCACGCCUGCAUUCAGUGGCUCUGGGGGCACGGCUGUGGGCCUCUCAAGGUUUGGAAUUCCUUUCUUUGCAUUGAGAUUAUAAUGAGUUUUAAGUGGAUGAACGCACCUCUUUUCUGGAGACCCCUGGCCUCCUGUAUCUUUCCCUUCCUCCCUUCCUCCAGCAUAUGUUUGCAUUAUAGAGAUUUAUAAAUAUAUUUCCUCUUUAUGGCCAGAGGCCUUGGAUAUGGAGCUGUGGUUUUGUUUUUUUGGUUUUUUUUUUUUUGUUGUUGUUGUUGUUUUCGUUUUUUUUUCAUCUUUUUGUUGUUGUUGUUGUUUGUUUGCUCCUGCAGCACCCAGGCGUUCUCAAUGCACGUGCUGGGUGCUCCCCCUCCCCCAACCGAGGUAAGACUAAACAACUACUACUAUGCAUGGUUGGCCCACGCUUGCCUGUACUGAGACCUGAAACUUUGACUCAGUCUGUGCUGGUCCCAGAGAGGGACUCCCACGGAAAAUCGUGGUGAUCUGUCAGGUGAUCCCCAUCCAGUAUGUGCCCCCUGCUUUCUUCCUGCCACAGGGUGGGGUCAGGGUACCUCCAGGAAGGUUCUACUCAUUGUCUGAGUGCGAUGGAAACCUCCCCAAGAGUUUGCAGUCCAGCGAGGAGUAGAUUUUUAUUUCAGAUGUGGCCUUAGUGGGUGAACAAUUAUAAGCCAGGCAGCAGCUCUGAGGGAUUCAGCACGGCUGUGUGAGAAAGAGCUGACCUAGAUGGGUCAGAGACAGGCAAGUGGACAGGCAGACCUGGGGUUCAGGUCUGGGAGUGUGGCUUGGGCACCUUACCUUGAGAAAGGUGAGGACACAAUUGAAGAACUUCGGCGGUUUGGACUUUGAGAGGGUGGGACCCUGGAAAGGGUGUCAUGAGGCACACAACAGCCUGGUCCACUAUCACCCAGAACCAGCAUCCACUCUUCCUGUGGCACUGGGGCAUAAUGCUUGUCCCUGUACGCUAAAGGCACUAUCCAGUGGGUGACUGGCUUUGUCAAGGCCACAGGUGGCCUAUGUAUGCCUCUGUGGUGUGGUGUGGUGUGGUGUGGUGUGGUGUGGUGUGGUUUGAUUUUUCUGCCAGGAGCCACUAUAAGAAAUGCCUCCAGCAAAAUACACUCUCUAGCUCAUUGUCAUCCUUUUCUUUGAGUCGCCUGAGGAGUUCCUGGGAGGAGUAGAGCCCUCAAAGAAAGCCUCCCGGUGUCAUGGCCAAGUGAGGCAGGAGGAGGACAGCAUGGGAGGCAGCCUUGUCCCUUGGUUCUCUCAGGAAAUGAUAGGUAAUAAGGCGGACAUCACCACACACCCUCUGCUUCACGGCACGCAAAGUUAAUUAGGGUUUGCUCACCACAGCGUACUGAUUAAACUCUGAUCGUGAAGCUGUCACUGUUAGUAUUACCUCAGGGACUGGAGAUAAAACUCAGUGGCAGAGAGCUUACCUAGCAUGUGCAAGAUACCAGGAGGCACACACAUUUUGUGUGUGCCUGUUUAUUAAUUUACUUAUUUCUAAUUUACGUGCAUUGGUGUUUUGCCCAGGUGUAUGCUUGUGCGAGGGAGAUCUUGGAGUCACAGACAGUUGUGAGCUGCCAUGUGGGUGCCUGGAAUUGAACCCAGGACCUUAGGAAGAACAGUCAGUGCUCUUAACCACUGAGCCAUCUCUGCAGCCCUGUGAAUAUUUACCUUUUCCCUUAUUUCAAGGUAUUUUUCCCAAAUAUGACUUUAGUUUUAUUUUUUUGUUUGUUUUGAGACAGGGUCUUUCUCUAUAGUUCUGGAUGGCUUAGAAUUCACCGUGUAGCCCAGGUUGGCCUCACACGUAUGGCAAUACCCCUGCCUCUGCCUCCCAAGUGCUAGGAUUAUAGACAUGUGUUCCUGUUUCCAGGGUUUUAAUUUUCUUUUCUUUUCUUUUUUCUUUCUUUCUUUUUUUUUUUUUUUUUGGAGCCAGGACCGAACCCAGGGCCUUGGGCUUGCUAGGCAAGCGCUCUACCACUGAGCUAAAUCCCCAACCCCCAGGGUUUUAAUUUUUAACUAAGUCUGAAUCUAAUAUUUCUUUCAAUGGAGGAAACGUGUGUGUGUGUAUGUGUAUAUAUGUAUAUAUAAUAUAUUACAGUAUUUAUUAUAUAUUAAUAAGUAGAAGUUUAUCUUUAGAAAGAGGCACAAGUGUUCCCUAAGGCCUCUGCCCUGAAAGAAAAGUCACCCAAAACCAAGGCAAAGGCUGUCACUUUCCCUUAUCAGUGGCUGUGUUUACAAAGCAUUGUUCCCCAAAUUAAAACAACCAGGUCCUCUCCUUCCGGAGGACGUUUGCCUGUUGGCUGGCAGAGGAAUGUUUGCCUAACCUUUAAGUUCCUCGUGUUGGGGCUGGUUCUCUUUCUUUUGUGAAAGGGAGGCUCUGUGGCUUGGUGGAGGUUGAUGAAAGCUAAGAGGCAGUGAGUGCUUCUGCCUCCUGUUUGUAGAGCGGCUGCUACACCCCGCACUGGCUGAGUGAGGCCCAGCACCUCCUGAGCCCGAAUCCCCUAACCCCGCGAUCACUGCUUCAGAUCACAUGAUACCAUAAUGCAAAUUGGAAGGUUACACAGGUAGGCUUCUGGUGGAAAGGUGCAGUGGUUACCCAGUCUACCUGGUUAGACUGAGGCACCUAGUAUAUUAUAUUAGUAAAGCAUACUCUAGGUAUGUCUGUGGUGGGUUUCUGGGAGGGGGGUGCGUACUUAUCAAUUAUCUAUCCCUUAAUAGAUUCAUGAUCUGAUAUUACUAUCGACAACCUGUCUCUUCUUGUACACCCUUCGCUCUGCAUCCUAGCAUCUAUUUCCAACGUCCCAGGCCCCAUGGGAUGACCCUUGUGAAACUAAGCAAAACAAGUCCUCCUCCCUUCAGCAAUCUUGGUCCCAGCAAACAACAUGACACUGAAUCCUCAGCCUGAGCCCCCCUGAUCUGAAAGGAGGGAGGUUCUAUUGUUAGAGAAACAGCCCCAGGAUUGGGGAUUUAGCUCAGUGGUAGAGCGCUUACCUAGCAAGCACAAGGCCCUGGGUUCGGUCCCCAGCCCAGGAAAAAAGAAAAAAAAGAAAAAGAAAAAGAAAAAAAAGAGAAACAGUCCCCUGGGUUCAGUGAGGACUAGCUGGACCACCCCAAUGCUAACCCCAAGAUCAGUAGCCUGAGACCCCAGGGCUUGAAAACUAUCCUUCAGUUACAUAAACCUUUAGGAGAGAUGGCUGGAAAGGUGGCUCAGUGGUUAAGAGCACUGACCGCUCUUCCAGAGGUCCUGGGUUCAAAUCUCAGCAACCACGUGGUGGCUCACAACCAUCGGUAAUGGGAUCUGAUGCCCUUUUCUGGUGUGUCUGAAGACAGCUACAGUGUAGUUAAAUAUAAUAAAUAAGUAAAUCUUUUUUUAAAAAGCACAAGAAAAACACACCUUUAAGUUCCCCGUGUUGGGGCUGAUCAGACAGAGUAGGGUAUUUCUGGACGGACACUAAAUGGCUGGUCACAGAAAUCACUAAACAGUGCGUGCAGGACGAAUUUGAGACAGGUGUCUACCCCCUUCGGUCUACUCCGUGUACUGCGUGAGUGACUCCUGAGACAGAGGAAGUCCAUUCUUGCUGGUUGCUUCCAUUGUAGUAAAUUCAGCAUGGAAUACUUCACCUAGUAAAGAACAUAGCACUCUGGUGUCUGACGUGCAACACUGAGAUCAUCAGAGUGCUUUCUGCUAACUACUCAUCGUGUGUGUGUGUGUGUGUGUGUGUGUGUGUGUGUGUGUGUGUGUGUGUGUGUGUUUGUGUGCCUGUGUGAGUGUGCGUGAGUAUAUGUGUGUGUGUAUGUGUGUGUAUGUGUGUGUAUGUGUGAGUGUGUGUGUGCAUCUGCAUGUGUGUGUAUGUGCGUGCAUAUAUGAGUGACUAUGCCCUGUGAAUGGGUGCCUACAAGGCCAGAAGGGGCCAUCUGAUCUCCUGGAUCUGGAGUUCUAGGCAGUCGUGAGCUGGGUGCUGGGAUUGAACUCAGGUUCAAUUCCCAGUUCAGGUAGUUACAACCCCCUAAGUCCAAAUCCAGGGGGACCCAACAAAUCAAAUCUGACCUCUGUAGGCACUUGCAUUCAUGUGCAUACACCAUCCCCACCAACACACACACACACACACACACACACACACACACACACACACACACGCACACACCGGCAUGAUUUAAAAAAGAAAAAGACAGGGUUUCAUGUAGCCCAGGCUAGACAUCCGGUCCUUCUGCCUCUAUCUCCUGAAACAGGUCGCAAGACUGAGCCACCACAUCCGUCUCCAUCUUCUCCCAGGGUCCAGAUGACCUGUCUUGGUCCUCUGUGCAAUCCAAGGACAGCCAGCCAGAACUGGCUUUGAUGCGAAGCCAUUGGAGCAACCAUGAUUUUCGGUCUCAGAGAAGAGGAAACAAAAAGCCAAAAUAAACAGACACUUGGCGUGGAGGCCUGGUUUUAUUAUUCUGCUUGUGACAGAAAUCAGACAGUCCCAUUGUGGUGGUGGAAAUGGAAGGCUAAUAAAACCUGUUCUGUGGACUGAGUUUCCUGGACCGAUGAGAUCACACGGGCACCUCCUGUAGCCUGAAAAUAGGCAAAACAAGUCUCCCUGCCGAGGACCCGGAUCUGGAGCCAAGGCCCUGCCAAGCCUCCCUCGGAGCAGAGCAUGGGAGAACCUACUUGCCAGCUCUGGAGGUGCCCUGGAGAGACUAAGGGUCAGAUGGGGGUGGGGGUGGGCCAGCCAAAGAAGUCAUGGGGUGACAAGCAGGGCCUGGGGUACCCACUCAGGUGCUGCAGGGCACAUUUGUGCCCAAGACGCAGCUCAGAACCCUGUGGAGUUUGCUCAGUGCACAACCCCAGUGCUUUUCAGGUGUCUGGCUUCAUUGUUUUUUUUUUUUUGUUUUUUUUGGUUUUUUUUUGUUUUUGUUUUUGUUUUUUUUUUCUUUUUCUUUUUUUUUUUUUCAGAGCUAGGGACCGAACCCAGGGCCUUGCGCUUGCUAGGCAAGCGCUCUACCACUGAGCUAAAUCCCCAACCCUCUGGCUUCAUUGUUACUGUUUGCACGAGGACUCCCCUUUGUCCCAGCUCAGGACUACCUGGUAGCCUCUCAUUCACCUUGGUCUCCAACGCCUUGUGCGGGCAAAGAUGACCUUGAAUGUCUGAUGCUCCUGCCUCUACCCUCUGAGUGGGAGAUUAUAGGUGUGCACCACCACGCCCAGCUCAUGAACACUGGGUAUCAAACCUGGUACUUUGUGUGUAUGAGGCAGGCUUGCCGAGGUCAUAAAAACAUCACAAAGGUUCUGGCUCAUUUCUCAGGAACACAAUUCCUGCUCCUUAGUUACCCCUGCUCAUGCAUAGACGAUUUCUAGAUGUUGACAGGCCUCAAUUUUCAGGGCCGAUCAAAACUCUUCUGACACUAAUGGUCGGUCCUCUGCCCACUGCUACACUGGGGACUUUCCCACCCCAAGAAGCAGGUAUGUGCAUUAGUCAGUGGUUAGUCUUAUCUGCGGAUGGGAGGGGAGCCAUAUACUUCGUGCCCAGAACUCAAACCCACUAUGAGGUGGACCGAGAUCCCACAUGCAGCUGGAGAUGUCCGAGAGGCCAACCUUCCUCACCCCUAGCCAUGUGACCAGAUUCUGUUGACUUACCGUGAUCCAUAUGGAGUGGAACCUAUCUGUGGAUCCAGGGCUAAUUCGGCUACAAAGUGGGAGUGCACGGUGGUCCCUCAGACCUAGGAGGCCUCUAGAUCAUGGGCACUGUCCAUCUGUACAGUAUCCUGUUCAGAGAGCCCAUGCUUUCUGUGUGUGCCUGUGGUGGCCAGAUCACAGAACUCAUCGCAAUAGGAGGUCAGACUUUCUAAGACGAUGAGACCUCGGGUCCCUGCCCUCGGUGUGUCAAAGCUGACACCCCAUGAGCCUGCUCCCCAUAAAGGAAGAGCUGAGAGCCAGCUGACAGUUCUCUGUCUAGCACGCUUACCCGCCCAUCUACUAUGCCAAGGCACAUCGGGAGGGCCCUUUGAAUCAGCCAUCAAUCAAGGUAGCUGUUCACACUGGGUGCGGUCACCUGUGAUACCAGUACUUGGGAGGCAAUCUUUGCAAUCUUCUGAAAAUCAUCUUGACAGACUAUUUGCCCUUGUUUCUUUAGUGUUUGCCCGGCUUCAUCCUUCCGUUAACCUAAUCAAGUCCAACAGUCUACUCUUUAAUACACUUAAAACUUGUUCCUGAUUAAGGGCUUCUGCCCUAAUCGGACAUCUUUAUCUUUAGCUCGCUGUGUCCUACACUGGUGCUGACCUCUCAUUCUGGGCUGCCUUUCCCUCAGGAGGACACCAGACUCCGCAUUUUCUGAAAUGUACAUGCCCUUCAUGCUGAGCCCUGCCAGCUCUUUUUAGAUUGUUGUCAUCCACAGACAUUUGGGCAAGCCGUCAUCAGGGUCAUCUGCUGGCCAUCUUGCUUUGUCCUCAGUUCCUGACCGACCUGGUGCCUGAUGCAUCUCUACAGAGGACUGGUCAGUACCUCAGCCUCAUGGCUCUGCAGGGUCAAUUCUGGCCACCUUCUCUUCUUCUGCUUCAGGUAUUCAAUUCCCUGGCUUUACCCUGGGCGCCUUCUGCCCAGUUCCCAUCACUGACUACAUCGAUCCUGAAGUGAAAGUCCCUGCCUCUUUGAAAGGCCCCUGGUGAAGUCUGUGCCCUUCCCAGAUACCCUGCCCUUCCCCCCCCCCCAGCUCCAGUGUCUGCAUUUACUGCCCUGCUUCUCUGUGUUGCGAGGACAUGUGCUUUGCAACAUCCUGGCCCAGUCUUCUACCAGAUCUGCUGCUCCAGGGCGGUGAGCUUUGUAGCGGGGAGAUGGUCAGGAUUCUCUCCCUCCGCAAGGGCACAGACUUCACCAGGGGCCUUUCAUGGUCAACCCGUUUGAGGGAUGCUUCCCGUGGCUUCAACCUUGUCUGCUCACAGGAUCGUCCAGCUGAAUCUGCCAUUCAGUAUCUCAAAAUAGAUUCUUCCCGCAUCCUUUGACACACCUCUAUUGGUCUUCAUCUCGCAAACUCUAAGCUUGAAAGCAAGGAGGCCCCAAAUCUUCCACCUACCUGUCCAAAGCCAAGUGCCUCUUGGACUAGGAAGAGGGACCCUGGGGGGUGUGCAGUUCAAGGGCCCCCAUCCCUCUAUGGCCUGCAGCAACCUCAACUUCAAAGUGGCAAUAUGAAGGGGAAACUAAGAAGGCAUUCUAGAACUCGUGUUCAAAGCUCUCCGCUGUGAGGGUGUUAGCAUGUGAGGGUGUGUGUCCUGGAAGGGGGCCACCAUGUUUGUGUCUCCUUACCACUUUCUCCUUUGGAGAAGUGGGCAGCAUUCUUGGGAGGACCAGGUUGUUGUCUCCUGAGGUCUAGUGCUGGCAGACUGCAGGUGGUGUGAACACACACACACACACACACACACACACACAUUGGCAUUCUCUCAUCUUGGGGGUUGGACAUCCAGUUUCAGAUAAGUUUUAUCUUAACAGCCAGUUCCACAAUGCACUCAGAAGAAAAAAAAGAUAGCAGGGUCCCAUGAUGCAGCGUGGGGCCAUGAUCCGAGUCUGAGAACAGGACCAGAGUUAAAGCAAAAUGGGGUCAGAGCUGGCAGAGCUGCAGACAGGCACUGUCGGCCAACCAAGCCUGAGGUCACAGGCACUGGAUGUUGAGCACAGUGUGCAAUGCUGUUUCGUCAUUUCCACUGGUCCCUACUGCACACUGUUCUGUGCCUUGGCUCACCAUCCUGCUGGGGUCUGCUGGGGUCUGCUGGGGUCUGGGGAGGAGGUAGGGCAUUGAGUGUCAUGUCCUCUGACUACUGUGACCUUUUCUGCUCCAUAGUGCCUUCCAAGGAAGGGUGGCUGUGUCUACUCACUGCUGCUGAUUGCUUGAUAGCUUUCCCAUCAUCCCAUCUGACAUUUAUCAUAUGGAAAGUUAGAAGUACACUGGCAUGAGGUCCCAUUUUAGCGUUCCUAUUUUGGGAUAUAGACUCUUUCCUGCCUUGGAGCUAAUUCCUCCCUGAAGAAACCAUUACCUUGUGAGUGUCAUAACCAUGGGGUUUUCAAGAGGAUCCUGGAAAGAAAUACCCUGAGGAUGGAAAUUCAUUCCACCAUGAUUUGGAAGGGAACAGAAUGCUCGUGCUCGCUCGCGCGCUCUCUCUCUCUCUCUCUCUCUCUCUCUCUCUCUCUCUCUUUCUCUCUCACACACACACACACACACACAGCCAUGUAAUAAAUAUUCAUAAACUAUAAAAUUUCUCAGCUCAGAGCCCUGUGCUGUUCCUUCCACAACCCCUUGCCACCUUAGCUCUCUCUCUCCGCCUCCUUUCUGUUGAUUGGCUGUUGGAUGGGUGAGUGGGGGAUGUUAUUGUUGUUGGGUUAGGGUCUCACGGAUCCCUGGUUACCAUCUAAAUCCUUUUUUCUUACAAUUUUUUUAAGAUUUAUUUAUUUAUUAUAUUUAUAUAUUUAUUAUAUAUUUAUUAUAUUAUAUAUUUAUUUAUUUAUUAUAAAUAUAAGUAGCUGUCUUCAGACACACCAGAAGAGGGCGCCAGAUUUCAUUACAGAUGGUUGUGAGCCACCAUGUGGUUGCUGGGAUUUGAACUCAGGACCUCUGGAAGAGCAGUCAGUGCUCGUAACCACUGAGCCGUCUCUCCAGCCCCUGGCCCUUGUUUUGAAGCAGGGUCUCACACUGUAGCUCAGACUAGCUUUGAACUCUUAGUGACCCUCUUGCCUGUGCCUCCCCAGACCUGGGAGCCCAGGUAUGACUCACCACACCCAGCUGAUUCCUUUAAUGUUAGUGUCAUAAAGCCCCCAAUCACUGUGCCUUUUGGUGCUGACCCUCGUUAACAAAUAUUAGGUUUUCCUCUGUCUUCGUUCUCUUUCAGGGUCCCCCUGUGUGUUUGUUUUGGUGGUGGUGGUUUGGUUUGGUUUGGUUUUUUCUCUCUCUCUCUCUCUCUCUCUCUCUCUCUCUCUCUCUCUCUCUCUCUGUGUGUGUGUGUGUGUGUGUGUGUGUGUGUGUGUGAGAGAGAGAGAGAGAGAGAGAGAGAGAGAGAGAGAGAGGCGCUCUAUUGCCUGCUGGUAAUUUUCCCACAGUUUCCACUGCACACAUCCUCUCUUCACUGUGUCUUUGUCUGUUCCUCGAUCUGCGUUGAGUACUGGUUUUGUUGGUUUUUCAUCACUGGGGACUGAACCCAGGCCUCUGGACACUGCAGGCAUGCCCUACUGCCUGGUCCUUGAUACAUGCCCAGCCCUCUGCUUUCACUUUUUAUUAUGAGACAAAGUUGUCCAGGCUGGAUUCGAACUUGUGUUUCUCUUGCCUCAUUCUCUCAAAUGGAAAGGUUGGAGUACCAGGCUCUGUGAGAACUUAUGUUUAAUGGUUAUCAUUUUUCUUCCUAGGCCAUCUAGACUAUUGCACCCGUUCUCCCAAGCCUCCUGUUCCUUCAUUUUUUUUUUUUUUCUUUUUUUCGGAGCUGGGGACCGAACCCAGGGCCUUGUGCUUGCUAGGCAAGUGCUCUACCACUGAGCUAAAUCCCCAACCCCCUGUUCCUUCAUUUUUUUUUUUUUUUUUUGGUUCUUUUUUUCGGAGCUGGGGACAGAACCCAGGGCCUUGCGCUUCCUAGGUAAGCGCUCUACCACUGAGCUAAAUCCCCAGCCCCCCCUUCAUUUUUAACUGCAUUUUCAUGUUACUCGUUGUCCUGAUGGCUCCUACCAGGCUGCUCAUUGGCAGGUCCUGAAGGCAGGGUCUGCAUGCGGUGAGGCACUGAGGUGCAUCCCCACCCCCGUGCCCCUGUUCUCUGUGUGUGAGCUCCAGGACCCUCACCCAAACAGGAUCACCAUUUGGCUUAUGCCACUAAUCAUAAUGUCCUCAGGAGGGAUUUUGUAGUUUCUGGUUGUAAACUUAUCUUCAGAGGACUGUGUGUGUGUGUGUGUGUGUGUGUGUGUGUGUGUGUGUGUGUGUGUGUGUGUGUUUGUGGGGAGGAGGGGGGCUCUGUGUCCCUGUGUCUACAUUGCUUUCUGGGGUUUUUAUUGUCGACUUCCUGACUUGGGCUUUAUUAUCUGGAAUAAUUACAGUAUCGGCUCAUAAUUCAUUUUCCAAAGGGACUGUUCCCACCCUCCUGAGAGGAGUGAGUGGGUUUUUGACGUUGUCCAAGGUACUCCAGACCCCCUCCGCCCUUCCCCCCAGACUGCACCUGCACUGUUCCAGCCAGGCACCGUCACUCCUGGUUUCCUAAACGCUGGACCAUUCUUGGAUAUUUUGCCAAAGUGAUUUCAAACAAAAUGUCUUCUGUUUAUAAUCUGUUAGCUUUCUGAGCUUCCGUGUUUUUGCAUAGAGAUCAUGUAUCUUUCCGGUCCUUUCUCCAUCAUGGAACACUUAUAUGUCACCCUCUGCCCAGGCGUGGCAAUGGUGCAGUCAAUAGUUUAUGGAGGAUGGUUCAACAAAUCUGAGCCAAAGUCCAUGCUCAGCUGCGUGAAUCCAAGGUCCAGAGUGUUCAGUGUCCCAGCCUCUCUUCCUUCUCCCACAAUACUCAAGAAAUAAGAGACCCAACAUUUCAUCCUUUUUUUUUUUAAAUCUUCUCUUUACAUCUUAUAGAACUUUAUUUCCUAACAGAAGAGACUACUGAGCAAGGCGGAGACAUUCCAGUUCCCUUGGCCUGGCAAUCGUAACCACCUUACUUCAGGUUCUUGGUGUGAAAAGCUGUUUAGCGAGAAUGAUUAGGCUUGGUUUUCCAUGUUUUUUUUCCUGUGGAUGGGGAUACACACACUCCCCCCGCCCCCACCUCUUCCUCCAGGAGAGCCUGAGUGUGAUUCCUCCAAACCCAUGUAAAAGCUGAGUGUACUAGUGUAACACACAGCUGGAUCCUGGUGUCCUACGUGGAGAUGGGAGGUGGAGACAGGAGACAGAAUCACCAGCUCUCCAGCCAGUGCACGCUGUUAGAUUAAAAACAAAAACAAAAACAAAGGGGGCUAGAGAGAUGGCUCAGUGGUUAGAGCACUGGCUGCUCUUCCACAGGUCCUGAGUUCAAAUCCCAGCAACCACAUGGUGGCUCCCAACCAUCUGUAAUGGGAUCUGAUGCCCUCUUCUGGUGUGUCUGAAGACAGCUACAGUGUACUUAUAUAUAAUAAAUGAAUAAAUAAAUCUUUGAAAAAAAAACAAAAAAAAAAAACAAAAAAACCCUGUCUCAAACAAAACAAAAUGCAACAGGCAGCACCCGAGACGGUCCUUUGACCUCCAGAAAUGUCUCAUGGCACAAGCUUACCACAUUCAUACACACCACAUAUGUCGUAUGUAUGAUAUAAAGACUGAAAUUUUGCAUGUACAUUUCAGUGGUAUUAAAGCACAGUCACAUUUCUUAAUUCAGUGGUGACCUACAGUCUCUAGAACUCUCAUGUCUAAAGCCGAUCGAUGCUCAUGCCAUGAGAUAAAGUUCUCUAUUUUUACCCCAUCCAGGCCCUGGCACCCAUCACCCACUUUCAGUUUACUGUAAGGUCCUCACGUAAAUGGAAUCAUCAGUAUCUGUCAUUGUAUGACCGGUUUAUGUCACUAAUGUCCUUAAAGGUCAUCUGGUAUAGCAAGUAUUUGAAACAUUUCCCUUCUUAAGGCAAAGUUCCAGUCCAUUGUGUGACACACUGUGUGGACACAUUGUAUGGACACACUGUGUGGACACAUUGUAUGGACACACUGUGUGGACACACUGUAUAGACACAUUGUAUGGACACACUGUAUGGACACACUGUAUGGACACAUUGUAUGGACACACUGUAUGGAUACACUGUAUGGACACAUUGUAUGGACACACUGUAUGGACACACUGUAUGGACACAUUGUAUGGACACACUGUAUGGACACACUGUAUGGACACACUGUAUGGACACACUGUAUAGACACAUUGUAUGGACACACUGUAUGGAUACACUGUAUAGACACAUUGUAUGGACACACUGUAUGGAUACACUGUAUGGACACAUUGUAUGGACACACUGUAUGGACACACUGUAUGGACACAUUGUAUGGACACACUGUAUGGACACACUGUAUGGACACACUGUAUGGACACACUGUAUAGACACAUUGUAUGGACACACUGUAUGGAUACACUGUAUGGACACAUUGUAUGGACACACUGUAUGGACACACUGUAUGGACACAUUGUAUGGACACACUGUAUGGACACACUGUAUGGACACAUUGUAUGGACACACUGUAUGGACACACUAAGCUUAAUUAUUUUUAUGUGUGUGUUUUGCCUGUGUGUAUGUAAGUGUACACUAUGUGUGCAGCUGAUGCGUCAGAGGCCAGAUGAGGAUGCUGGGUCCUCUAGAACUGGAGUUUCAAGUAGCUGUAAACUGCCACGUGCAUGCUGGGAAACAAACCUAGGUGCUCUGCAAACGCAGCCAGUGCUCUUAUCAAUAAGUCAUUCCUCCAGCCCUUAUUAUAACUUGUUUUUGAAACAGAAUUGAAGUUUAUUAAAAUAUAUUUUAACAUACAUUUUAUACAUAAUUAUUAAAAGAAAGAGAAGCACUCAGGAAGAAAGAAGAGCAGGGUCUCCAUGCCAUGCUUUAAAAACAUGCAGUGGGAAGCUGACGUUGUUGGUAUUUAAAUGCUGACAAUUCUAAUGCACUGUCCCAUGAUUUUCUGCAACCAUUUGGACAUCAUUGGAGACCAAAUAGGCUUAAUCUCUGAGUGAUGGUUAUAGUUCCAGAAAGUGGUGGCAGGGCCAUAUCAAAAACUAGCACCUGUCAGCUUAAUGGGGGAGAACAGGAGCGGCUAGGGUCAUGAGCACAUGGUCCCAUCUGGAAGAGGAUGUGGUCUGGAGAGAGGAUUACAGAGCAGUGCCGUCAGGGCGGGGCUUGCAGCAGAUAGGGUUACUUCUGGAGCAAGGAGCCAAUGGUGUGCAGCUCCCAGCUCUGCAGGACUAGAGUUCUUAGUAGAGAAAGCAAUUGGGCUGGGGAUUUAGCUCAGUGGUAGAGCGCUUACCUAGGAAGCGCAAGGCCCUGGGUUCGGUCCCCAGCUCCGAGAGAAAAAAAAGAACCAAAAAAAAAAAAAAAAAAAACAACCAAAAAACCAGAAA